UACAGAGGGUGCAAGCGUUGUUCGGAUUUACUGGGCGUAAAGGGCGCGUAGGCGGCCUCCGCAAGUCAGUUGUGAAAUCUCCGAGCUUAACUCGGAAAGGUCAACUGAUACUGCGGGGCUAGAGUGCGGAAGGGGCAACUGGAAUUCUUGGUGUAGCGGUGAAAUGCGUAGAUAUCGAGAGGAACACCAGCGGCGAAGGCGGCUCACUGGGCUCCACCUGACGCUGAGGCGCGAAAGCGUGGGGAGCGAACCGG
rnacentral:rRNA from 1 species